rnacentral:rRNA from 1 species
GUGCGCAGGCGGUUUUGUAAGUCAGAUGUGAAAUCCCCGGGCUUAACCUGGGAACUGCGUUUGAAACUACAAGGCUAGAGUGUGGCAGAGGGGGGUGGAAUUCCACGUGUAGCAGUGAAAUGCGUAGAGAUGUGGAGGAACACCGAUGGCGAAGGCAGCCCCCUGGGUUAACACUGACGCUCAGGCACGAAAGCGUGGGGAGCAAACAGGAUUAGAUACCCUGGUAGUCCACGCCCUAAACGAUGUCAACUAGUUGUCGGGUCUUAACGGACUUGGUAACGCAGCUAACGCGUGAAGUUGACCGCCUGGGGAGUACGGUCGCAAGAUUAAAACUCAAAGGAAUUGACGGGGACCCGCACAAGCGGUGGAUA